AUUUAUUUAUCAAAUAAGUAAGUAAGUAAGGGAGUCGUUUUCCGAGACAAGGACCGACUCGGAAGAAGGAAGCAGAAAAAUGAUCCACGGUGGAGACGAAGAAAAUGACUGUAAUAGAAAACGGAUUCUGGGAUGGAUGUUAGAAAAGAAGAAGAAACAAGAAUGAGGAGAGUGCGAGUUAGUGUGUGUGUGUGUGUGUGCGGGUUCCCAUAUCACAUCAAGGGCUAGUUCCCACAUAUCACAGAGUGGCCAGAAAUUUAUGUAAUGGGCAUGGAAACCACUGGCAAUACCAUAACUUUGGAUCACCUAGAUAUCUACAGAAGGGCUAUCUUAACCUCGAUGGUGAAAGAAAAUAUGCAACAAGAAUAGAGAGUUUCAUUCUAGAAUUCAGUCAUCAAUCCUAACUUAUCAUCAUAGUAUAUUAAUCCAUUAAAUUGUAUAAGAUUAACAUUUAGAACAGUUUAAUUUAUUUUUAAAUUUAUAAUUUCUUUAGAUUUUUUUGUUUUCAACAUGGCGUUACUUCCGCUUAUUUUUGUGAAAUAGUAUCUGUGAUUCAGUAAAAAUGAUCUAUUGGAAGCAUUAGCUAAAAUCA
rnacentral:lncRNA from 1 species